UCCUGGCUCAGGAUGAACGCUGGCGGCGUGCUUAACACAUGCAAGUCGAACGGAGUUAUACGAAAGCUUGCUUUGUUUAACUAGUGGCGACGGGUGAGUAACGCGUGAGGAACCUGCCCUUUAGUGGGGAAUAACACCGAGAAAUCGGUGCUAAUACCGCAUAAUGUCGGGAAACCGCAUGAUUUUCCGACCAAAGGAUUUAUCGCUUAAGGAUGGCCUCGCGUCCGAUUAGGCAGUUGGUGGGGUAACGGCCCACCAAACCAACGAUCGGUAGCCGAACUGAGAGGUUGAUCGGCCACAUCGGGACUGAGACACGGCCCAGACUCCUACGGGAGGCAGCAGUGGGGAAUAUUGGGCAAUGGGCGAAAGCCCUGACCCAGCAACGCCGCGUGAAGGAUGACGGUCUUAGGAUUGUAAACUUCUUUAAUCGGAGAAGAAUAAAUGACCUACCCGAAGAAUAAGCCACGGCUAACUACGUGCCAGCAGCCGC
rnacentral:rRNA from 1 species